rnacentral:rRNA from 1 species
UUCCAGACUCCUACGGGAGGCAGCAGUGGGGAAUAUUGGGCAAUGGGCGCAAGCCUGACCCAGCAACGCCGCGUGAAGGAAGAAGGCUUUCGGGUUGUAAACUUCUUUUCUGAGGGACGAAGAAAGUGACGGUACCUCAGGAAUAAGCCACGGCUAACUACGUGCCAGCAGCCGCGGUAAUACGUAGGUGGCAAGCGUUAUCCGGAUUUAUUGGGUGUAAAGGGCGUGUAGGCGGGAAAGCAAGUCAGAUGUGAAAUCCCGCGGCUCAACCGCGGAACUGCAUUUGAAACUGUUUUUCUUGAGUACCGGAGAGGUCAUCGGAAUUCCUUGUGUAGCGGUGAAAUGCGUAGAUAUCAGGAGGAACACCGGUGGCGAAGGCGGCCUGCUGGACUGCGACUGACGUUGAGGCCCGAAAGCGUGGGGAGCAAACAGGAUUAGAUACCCGUGUAUA